CCAGACUCCUACGGGAGGCAGCAGUGGGGGAUAUUGCACAAUGGGGGAAACCCUGAUGCAGCGACGCCGCGUGUGGGAAGACGGUCCUCUGGAUUGUAAACCACUGUCCCCAGGGACGAAAAUGACGGUACCUGGGGAGGAAGCUCCGGCUAACUACGUGCCAGCAGCCGCGGUAAUACGUAGGGAGCGAGCGUUGUCCGGAAUUACUGGGUGUAAAGGGAGCGUAGGCGGGGAUGCAAGUUGGGUGUCAAAACUACCGGCUCAACUGGUAGUCGCACUCAAAACUGCAGCUCUUGAGUGAAGUAGAGGCAGGCGGAAUUCCUAGUGUAGCGGUGAAAUGCGUAGAUAUUAGGAAGAACGCCAGUGGCGAAGGCGGAUUACUGGACGACAACUGACGGUGAGGCGCGAAAGCGUGGGGAGCAAACAGGAUUAGAUACCCGCGUAC
rnacentral:rRNA from 1 species